GAUGAACGCUGGCGGCGUGCUUAACACAUGCAAGUCGAACGGUGAAGCAGGAGCUUGCUCCUGUGGAUCAGUGGCGAACGGGUGAGUAACACGUGAGCAAUCUGCCCUGGACUCUGGGAUAAGCGUUGGAAACGACGUCUAAUACCGGAUACGAGGCGUGGGGGCAUCCCCAACGCCUGGAAAGAACUUCGGUCCAGGAUGAGCUCGCGGCCUAUCAGGUAGUUGGUGAGGUAACGGCUCACCAAGCCUACGACGGGUAGCCGGCCUGAGAGGGUGACCGGCCACACUGGGACUGAGACACGGCCCAGACUCCUACGGGAGGCAGCAGUGGGGAAUAUUGCACAAUGGGCGCAAGCCUGAUGCAGCAACGCCGCGUGAGGGAUGACGGCCUUCGGGUUGUAAACCUCUUUUAGCAGGGAAGAAGCGAAAGUGACGGUACCUGCAGAAAAAGCACCGGCUAACUACGUGCCAGCAGCCGCUGUAAGAC
rnacentral:rRNA from 1 species